GACGAACGCUGGCGGCGUGCUUAACACAUGCAAGUCGAACGGAAAGGCCCUGCUUUUGUGGGGUGCUCGAGUGGCGAACGGAUGAGUAACACGUGAGUAACCUGCCCUUGACUUUGGGAUAACUUCAGGAAACUGGGGCUAAUACCGGAUAGGAGCUCCUGCUGCAUGGUGGGGGUUGGAAAGUUUCGGCGGUUGGGGAUGGACUCGCGGCUUAUCAGCUUGUUGGUGGGGUAGUGGCUUACCAAGGCUUUGACGGGUAGCCGGCCUGAGAGGGUGACCGGGCACAUUGGGACUGAGAUACGGCCCAGACUCCUACGGGAGGCAGCAGUGGGGAAUAUUGCACAAUGGGCGGAAGCCUGAUGCAGCAACGCCGCGUGCGGGAUGACGGCCUUCGGGUUGUAAAACGCUUUCGCCUGUGACGAAGCGUGAGUGACGGUAAUGGGUAAAGAAGCACCGGCUAACUACGUG
rnacentral:rRNA from 1 species